rnacentral:rRNA from 1 species
UACGUAGGUGACAAGCGUUGUCCGGAUUUACUGGGCGUAAAGAGCGCGCAGGCGGUCGAUCAAGUCGGGUGUGAAAGCCCCCGGCUCAACUGGGGAGGGGCAUUCGAUACUGAUCGACUCGAAGGCAGGAGAGGGUAGUGGAAUUCCCGGUGUAGUGGUGAAAUGCGUAGAUAUCGGGAGGAACACCAGUGGCGAAGGCGACUUCCUGGCCUGUUCUUGACGCUGAGGCGCGAAAGCUAGGGGAGCAAACGGG